GAUGAAGAACGUAGUGAAAUGCGAUAGGUAGUGUGAAUUGCAGAUGUAACGUGAAUCAUCGAAUCUUUGAACGCAAAUUGCACUCUCUGGUAUUCCGGGGAGUAUGCCUGUUUGAGGGUCGCCAAAUCAACAUCGAAAUUCAUUUGCUUUUGUAAAUGUUUAUCGGAUUUGAGCCGUCUUUUAUUUUUUUAAUUAAAGUGGCUUAAAAUGUAUUUUUUGGUAUCGAAAAACGUUAUUUUACGAUCAAAUUGAUUAAAAAAACAAACGUUUCGAAUGCCGUCAUUUAAUGUAAUACGUUUGACUGUGUUAAUCAUAGUUUCAUUCGUAUACGAUUUUUUAAUUUUUGACCUCAAAUCAGGUAAGAACACCCGCUGAACUUAAGCAUAUCAAUAAGCGGAGGA
rnacentral:misc_RNA from 1 species